GACGAACGCUGGCGGCGUGCCUAAUACAUGCAAGUCGAGCGAGCGGAACUAACAGAUUUACUUCGGUAAUGACGUUAGGAGAGCGAGCGGCGGAUGGGUGAGUAACACGUGGGGAACCUGCCCCAUAGUCUGGGAUACCACUUGGAAACAGGUGCUAAUACCGGAUAAGAAAGCAGAUCGCAUGAUCAGCUUUUAAAAGGCGGCGUAAGCUGUCGCUAUGGGAUGGCCCCGCGGUGCAUUAGCUAGUUGGUAAGGUAAAGGCUUACCAAGGCGAUGAUGCAUAGCCGAGUUGAGAGACUGAUCGGCCACAUUGGGACUGAGACACGGCCCAAACUCCUACGGGAGGCAGCAGUAGGGAAUCUUCCACAAUGGACGCAAGUCUGAUGGAGCAACGCCGCGUGAGUGAAGAAGGUUUUCGGAUCGUAAAGCUCUGUUGUUGGUGAAGAAGGAUAGAGGUAGUAACUGGCCUUUAUUUGACGGUAAUCAACCAGAAAGUCACGGCUAACUACGUGCCAGCAGCCGCGGUAAUACGUAGGUGGCAAGCGUUGUCCGGAUUUAUUGGGCGUAAAGCGAGCGCAGGCGGAAGAAUAAGUCUGAUGUGAAAGCCCUCGGCUUAACCGAGGAACUGCAUUGGAAACUGUUUUUCUUGAGUGCAGAAGAGGAGAGUGGAACUCCAUGUGUAGCGGUGGAAUGCGUAGAUAUAUGGAAGAACACCAGUGGCGAAGGCGGCUCUCUGGUCUGCAACUGACGCUGAGGCUCGAAAGCAUGGGUAGCGAACAGG
rnacentral:rRNA from 1 species